GUCUGCAACCCGACUGCGUGAAGUCGGAAUCGCUAGUAAUCGCGGAUCAGCAUGCCGCGGUGAAUACGUUCCCGGGCCUUGUACACACCGCCCGUCACACCAUGAGAGUCGGGAACACCCGAAGUCCGUAGCCUAACCGCAAGGGGGGCGCGGCCGAAGGUGGGUUCGAUAAUUGGGGUGAAGUCGUAACAAGGUAAC
rnacentral:rRNA from 1 species